UACGUAGGGUGCAAGCGUUGUCCGGAAUUAUUGGGCGUAAAGAGCUUGUAGGCGGUUUGUCGCGUCUGCUGUGAAAUUUCGGGGCUCAACCCCGAACUUGCAGUGGGUACGGGCAGACUAGAGUGUGGUAGGGGAGACUGGAAUUCCUGGUGUAGCGGUGAAAUGCGCAGAUAUCAGGAGGAACACCGAUGGCGAAGGCAGGUCUCUGGGCCACUACUGACGCUGAGAAGCGAAAGCUUGGGGAGCGAACAGG
rnacentral:rRNA from 1 species